rnacentral:sRNA from 20 species
GUUUGCUAUAAUAAAUUUCAACUUCCUUAGUCAAUAGAUUAAGGAGGUUAUCUCCUUUGUGUUGUUUACAAUAAACAAACAAAAUUUUCGCUCGAAUGCACGUCCAGUACCUAGUCCUUACUGUUUACGUGUAUCAAAUUCAUUUCCCGUAAAAGACCAAGUAAUGAUUGUGUCUCCCCACAUUCAUAUACUUGGUCUUU